rnacentral:rRNA from 1 species
UAGGGCGGGACACGUGGUAUCCUGUCUGAAUAUGGGGGGACCAUCCUCCAAGGCUAAAUACUCCUGACUGACCGAUAGUGAACCAGUACCGUGAGGGAAAGGCGAAAAGAACCCCGGCGAGGGGAGUGAAAAAGAACCUGAAACCGUGUACGUACAAGCAGUGGGAGCACAGGUUUACCUGUGUGACUGCGUACCUUUUGUAUAAUGGGUCAGCGACUUAUAUUCUGUAGCAAGGUUAACCGAAUAGGGGAGCCGGAGGGAAACCGAGUCUUAAUUGGGCGUUAAGUUGCAGGGUAUAGACCCGAAACCCGGUGAUCUAGCCAUGGGCAGGUUGAAGGUUGGGUAACACUAACUGGAGGACCGAACCGACUAAUGUUGAAAAAUUAGCGGAUGACCUGUGGCUGGGGGUGAAAGGCCAAUCAAACCGGGAGAUAGCUGGUUCUCCCCGAAAGCUAUUUAGGUAGCGCCUCGUGAAUUCAUCUCCGGGGGUAGAGCACUGUUUCGGCUAGGGGGCCAUCCCGGCUUACCAACCCGAUGCAAACUGCGAAUACCGGAGAAUGUUAUCACGGGAGACACACGGCGGGUGCUAACGUCCGUCGUGAAGAGGGAAACAACCCAGACCGCCAGCUAAGGUCCCAAAGUCAUGGUUAAGUGGGAAACGAUGUGGGAAGGCCCAGACAGCCAGGAUGUUGGCUUAGAAGCAGCCAUCAUUUAAAGAAAGCGUAAUAGCUCACUGGUCGAGUCGGCCUGCGCGGAAGAUGUAACGGGGCUAAACCAUGCACCGAAGCUGCGGCAGCGACGCUUAUGCGUUGUUGGGUAGGGGAGCGUUCUGUAAGCCUGUGAAGGUGUGUCGUGAGGCAUGCUGGAGGUAUCAGAAGUGCGAAUGCUGACAUAAGUAACGAUAAAGCGGGUGAAAAGCCCGCUCGCCGGAAGACCAAGGGUUCCUGUCCAACGUUAAUCGGGGCAGGGUGAGUCGACCCCUAAGGCGAGGCCGAAAGGCGUAGUCGAUGGGAAACGGGUUAAUAUUCCCGUACUUGGUGUUACUGCGAAGGGGGGACGGAGAAGGCUAUGUUGGCCGGGCGACGGUUGUCCCGGUUUAAGCGUGUAGGUGUGUGUUCCAGGUAAAUCCGGUUCACUUUAACACUGAGGCGUGAUGACGAGGCACUACGGUGCUGAAGCAACAAAUGCCCUGCUUCCAGGAAAAGCCUCUAAGCAUCAGGUAACAUCAAAUCGUACCCCAAACCGACACAGGUGGUCAGGUAGAGAAUACCAAGGCGCUUGAGAGAACUCGGGUGAAGGAACUAGGCAAAAUGGUGCCGUAACUUCGGGAGAAGGCACGCUGACACGUAGGUGAAGUGAUUUACUCAUGGAGCUGAAGUCAGUCGAAGAUACCAGCUGGCUGCAACUGUUUAUUAAAAACACAGCACUGUGCAAACACGAAAGUGGACGUAUACGGUGUGACGCCUGCCCGGUGCCGGAAGGUUAAUUGAUGGGGUCAGCGCAAGCGAAGCUCCUGAUCGAAGCCCCGGUAAACGGCGGCCGUAACUAUAACGGUCCUAAGGUAGCGAAAUUCCUUGUCGGGUAAGUUCCGACCUGCACGAAUGGCGUAAUGAUGGCCAGGCUGUCUCCACCCGAGACUCAGUGAAAUUGAACUCGCUGUGAAGAUGCAGUGUACCCGCGGCAAGACGGAAAGACCCCGUGAACCUUUACUAUAGCUUGACACUGAACAUUGAGCCUUGAUGUGUAG